rnacentral:tRNA from 1 species
GCUACUGUGGCUCAAUGGUAGAGCACGCCACUCGUAAUGGCGAGGUUGUGGGUUCGAUUCCCACUAGUAGCUUCA